UACGUAGGAUGCAAGCGUUGUCCGGAAUUAUUGGGCGUAAAGAGCUCGUAGGCGGUCUGUCGCGUCUGCUGUGAAAACUCAGGGCUUAACCCUGAGCUUGCAGUGGGUACGGGCAGACUAGAGUGCGGUAGGGGAGACUGGAAUUCCUGGUGUAGCGGUGAAAUGCGCAGAUAUCAGGAGGAACACCGGUGGCGAAGGCGGGUCUCUGGGCCGUAACUGACGCUGAGGAGCGAAAGCGUGGGGAGCGAACAGG
rnacentral:rRNA from 1 species